AAGCCUAAGAUUGAGCCUAAGCCUAAGCUUAAGCCUAAGCCUUAGCCUAAGCGUAAGCUUAAGCCUAAGCCUAAGCCUA
ensembl:ncRNA Y39G10AR.28 ncRNA